GGGAAGUCCAGCUAUCAGGGAAGCUUCCCCAAUCAGGGAAGCAUGAAGUUUUAACCACUGGACCGUCAGAGAAGUUCCUCUUUUUACAUUUUUUAAUGUAGCUACCAGAAAAUUGAAAAUUAAGUGCAUGGCUCACAUUUUUGCCUUGCGUUACAUUUCUUUUGAACAGUGAGCGCUGUUCUGGAACCUCACCACUUAGUGUUGUCCCUGCUCAAGCAGCAUCAGCAUUUCCAGAAAGCUCGUGAGGAAUAGACUCUCAGAGCUCAGCCCAGACCUAAAGAAUCAGAAUCUUCAUUUUAGUCAGAUUCCUGGGGGAUUCAAGUGCGAGAAGCUGCCCUCAGAGGACUUCCUGUAGGUUCAGCUGAUCCGUCUGCUUCCAGGAAGGCAUGCUGGUGUGGCCACUGCACGGUGACAUACUGGACAGCAAGUAAGAGACUUGUAGAGUGUUGCUGCAGAUUCUGUUUUUUUUUUCUUCCUUCCCUGCCUCCCAGCAUGGACCCUUGGGUUGAGGUGAACUUCCACAGGGAGUCUAUGGCCUGAUAAUAUUUUCCAAGGUGGGCUGGGAGCUGGGGUGGGGAAAAGCAGGUGUGUCACCAUAGAAGAGGGAAGCCUCAGACAAGAAGACAAAGUCCUUGUUUGGUCUCAAGUUAAUGGUUAACCUACUAUGGAGAAAGAAGCAGUUGAGACGGUGGACUUUAGUUUCUGGCUGUUUCUCUACAAACUUCUGUGGCCUUGGUUUAAUUAUCCCCCUGUCUUGCAGAACAGCAAAUGCUGGGAUAGACCGGACCCUUUGACACCCAAGUCUUGUGAACUAGGGGACAGAGCCAAGAAGAGUGAGGUCAGCUUUUCACUGUGGCCUGGUUUUCUCCUCUUCUCUGGAUAAGUGAGAUAACUCAUGGAGCUUCAUGAAUGCUCAGUAGACCUCCUACCUAUAAAUAAUGGGAGAUUUUUCAAUAUUCAGAGAAAAGAAUGAGGAGACCUGAGGGAGAACUAAACAUGUAUCUUCUGCUGUGCGUGGAAAUGAUGAUUUUCAUAAAGAAAAUAAAUGUACAUGCAAUAAAGCCCAGAGAUAUAAAUGCAGAAAUGAAUAACAGGCUCAAGGCCACAAAGAUGACAAAUCACCAGGUGAUUACGCUGUGGGCUCUCUGUAUGUACAGCAAGCUCUUUGAGAACAGAGAAGACCCCCCAGAUUGAAGUGAAGGGGAAGCUUCUUAGAGGAAGGAGGAGAGGCUGGAAAUUCUUUUUAUGAACAUAUGGAGUAUGGCCUUUUCCAGGGAAGGCAAUGGAGUCCCCUAAAGACGCUGAAGAUUGGGGAAUAACGAUGAGAAGUUCAGCGGCCCUUGAGGCUGUGGUGAGGUCCUAGGAGGACAGGACCCUAAACAAGAG
rnacentral:lncRNA from 1 species